CAUAUCACUAAGCGGAGAAAAAGAAAAUAACUAUGAUUCCUAAAGUAACGGCGAGUGAAAUAGGAUAAGCCCAUAGCCGAAUUCUGUUGUCCUCGAUGGCAGCUAGAAGUUGUGGCGUUGGGAACUGCCUAUUGUAACCGAUCGGUCGGGCUACGCGACUCCUCUUGAUUGUGGUUUGCCCAUAGCAGGUGAAAGGCCUAUUGCCGUAGCCUCGUGCUGAAGACCGGCGGUGAUGGCAGUCCUUAGAGUCGGGUUGUUUGGGAUUGCAGCCCGAAGUAGGUGGUAAACUCCACCUAAGGCUAAAUACGAUCGCGAGUCCGAUAGCGCACAAGUACCGUGAGGGACAGUUGAAAAGAACUUUGAAGAGAGAGUUCAAAGUACGUGAAACCGUUCAGAGGUAAACGGGUAGAAAGUCGAAUUGAAAGCUGACAAUCAAGCCGUUGGUUUAGUCGGGGUUGGGCUGGUAGCACGUUAAAGGCUUCCAGUUUGCUCGUAAGGCUGGCUACGGUUGUAUUUGUUGGUUUUGGAUCGCCGCGACGGCAGUGUCUGACCGGCUGGCGUCUGCUCCUCUGGUCGAUGUAGAUCCGUUUGGGUCUCCACGUCGGCACACGGGUAGGCGUCCCGCGUACAUAGCACAGUCGAUUAAUACAGCGAUUUAAGUGUUCCAACUGGUUGUCGUUCGUUUUGUAUCGGUAGGUUGAUCUUAAACAAGUUCCCCUGCUGACAUCAGGGCGGCGGCGGCUGGCUUAACGACGGAGCAAAGAUCGCAUUGGCGGCGUUUGACUACGAAUUAUCUACCUGACCCGUCUUGAAACACGGACCAAGGAGUCUAACCUAUGCGCGAGCCAUUGGGAUUAACAAACCCAAAGGCAAAGUGAAAGCGAAAUUGGUGAGAUCUGUCGUUUAUUUGUUAAGAAUAACGGCGGCGCAUCAUCGUCACGCCUCAAUUCGGCUUCGGCUGAAGAGGCGCAGACUGAGCGCAUAAGUUGGGACCCGAAAGAUGGUGAACUAUGCGAGGCGAGGUCGAAGCCAGAGGAAACUCUGGUGGAGGACUGUAGCGGUUCUAACGUGCAAAUUGAUCGUCGCAGCUUCGUAUAGGGGCGAAAGACUAAUCGAACCAUCUAGUAGCUGGUUCCCUCCGAAGUUUCCCUCAGGAUAGCUGGCACUUUCGGAGAGCAGUUUUGUCCGGUAAAGCGAAUGACUAGAGGCCUUGGGGACAUAACGACCUCAACCUAUUCUCAAACUUUGAAUGGGCAAGAAGAGGGACUCACUUAAUUGGAGUCUUCUCAUUUGUGAAUGCUUGAGUGCCAAGUGGGCCAUUUUUGGUAAGCAGAACUGGCGCUGUGGGAUGAACCAAACGUUUAGCUAAGGCGCCAAAUGCUAACGCUCAUCCGAACCCAUUAAAGGUGUUGGUUGAUAGAGACAGCAGGACGGUGGCCAUGGAAGUCGGAACCCGCCAAGGAGUGUGUAACAACUCACCUGCCGAAUCAACCAGUCCUGAAAAUGGAUGGCGCUGAAGCGUUGUGAGCCUAUGCUAGACCGGCAUUGCAAAAAUUUUAAAUCAAGCGAUGCCGAGUAGGAGGGUCGCUGUGGUAUGCGUUGAAGCUUUGGGCGAGGGCCCGAGUCGAGCUUCCACAGGUGCAGAUCUUGGUGGUAGUAGCAAAUAUUCAAACGAGAACUUUGAAGGCCGAAGUGGAGAAGGGUUCCAUGUGAACAGCAUUUGAACAUGGGUCAGUCGGUCCUAAGCGAUAGGCAAAUGCCGUUCUGAAAGCAGGCUUAUUUUAAUUUAAUUAUUUUAAUUAAUGCCUGAUUUUGGUCGAAAGGGAAUCGGGUUAAUAUUCCCGAACCUGGACGCGGAGAUGGAGUCGUAGGCAACUAUGGCUCAGUGCGGUAACGCAAACGAUCUCGGAUUCGUCGGCGGGAGUCCUGGGAAGAGUUCUCUCUUCUUUGUAAGGGGCUGAAUCCCUGGAAUCGGCUUAGCCGGAGAUAGGGAUAUUGCAAGUUCCCGUAAAGCACCACACUUCUUGUGGUGUCCGGUGCACGACUGUCGACACUUAAAAAUCCGAGCUAGACGUUCAUAAUGUUCGCGCCAGGCCGUACCCAUAUCCGCAGCAGGUCUCCAAGGUGAACAGCCUCUGGCCUUAGACUGAUGUAGUCAAGGGAAGUCGGCAAAUUGGAUCCGUAACUUCGGAACAAGGAUUGGCUCUAUGGGUUGGGCCGUGACGGGCUGUGCUAGGAAGCGAUGCCUGCUACUGAUGCUUUGGGUCUGACUGGCAACGGUUGGGCCUAGCGUCGGUUGGCGGCGCGUGGAUCUGGCAUGGCUUCUGUCGGCGAUCUUCGGGUCGUCGGCAUCGUUCGGCAAAAAGCAACCGCCAUAGAACUGGUACGGACCAGGGGAA
rnacentral:rRNA from 1 species